UGGGGAAUAUUGGACAAUGGGCGGAAGCCUGAUCCAGCCAUGCCGCGUGUGUGAAGAAGGCCUUCGGGUUGUAAAGACACUUUUGUUACGGGAAGAAAAGACUUUCGGUUAAUACCCGGAAGUCCUGACGGUACCGUAAGAAUAAGCACCGGCUAACUUCGUGCCAGCAGCCGCGGUAAUACGAAGGGUGCAAGCGUUACUCGGAAUUACUGGGCGUAAAGCGUGCGUAGGUGGUUUGUUAAGUCUGAUGUGAAAGCCCUGGGCUCAACCUGGGAAUGGCAUUGGAUACUGGCAGUCUAGAGUGCGGUAGAGGGUAGCGGAAUUCCCGGUGUAGCAGUGAAAUGCGUAGAUAUCGGGAGGAACAUCCGUGGCGAAGGCGGCUACCUGGACCAGCACUGACACUGAGGCACGAAAGCGUGGGGAGCAAACAGGAUUAGAUACCCUGGUAGUCCACGCCCUAAACGAUGCGAACUGGAUGUUGGGGACACUUAGGUCCUCAGU
rnacentral:rRNA from 1 species